UACGGGGGGGGCAAGCGUUGUUCGGAAUUACUGGGCGUAAAGGGCUCGUAGGUGGCCAACUAAGUCAGACGUGAAAUCCCUCGGCUUAACCGGGGAACUGCGUCUGAUACUGGAUGGCUUGAGUUUGGGAGAGGGACGCGGAAUCCCAGGUGUAGCGGUGAAAUGCGUAGAUAUCUGGAGGAACACCGGUGGCGAAGGCAAUCCCCUGGGCCUGCACUGACGCUCAUGCACGAAAGCGUGGGGAGCAAACAGG
rnacentral:rRNA from 1 species